AUUAAAUAUAUAUUGAUUUUUGGGUUAAAAAUUAAUCUAAAUUUAAUAAAUUUUGUAUGAAUUGCAAAAAUUAUUAUUUAAAAAUUUAUUUUAAAAUUAUUUUAUAUAUGAAUUUUUGUAAAAAAAUUAAUUAAUUUAAAAAAUUUUUAAAAAAUGUAGUAAUUAAUAUUAAAUAUUUAAGAAAUUAAGAUUUAGUAAUUUAAAAUUAAUGACAAAUUUUGUGCCAGCAGUUGCGGUUAAACAAAGAUUAAAUUAAAUUUUUUUAGUAAUUAAUUAAUAAAUAAUAAUAAAAUAUAAAAAUUGAAUUAUUAAGUGAAAUUUUAAUUUAAUAAAAAUAUUAUAUAAUUUUUAUGAAUUAAAAAAAUUAAUUAAUAAACUAGGAUUAGAUACCCUAUUAUUUUAAUUUAAGUUAAAUAUACUAAAUUAGUAAAUAAUUAUUUAUUGAAAAUUAAAUGAGUUGGCGGUAUUUUAGUUUAUUUAGAGGAAUCUGUUUAAUAAUUGAUAAUCCACGAAUAAAUUUACUUAAUUUAAAAUUUUGUAUAUCGUUGUUAAAAAAAUAUUUUUUAAAAAUUAAUAAUAUUUUAAUUUUUAAAAUAAAAAUUAAAUCAGAUCAAGAUGCAGAUUAUAAUUAAGAAUAUAAUGGAUUACAAUAAAUUUAUUUUAUGGAUAAUAAUUUGAAAUAAUUAUUUGAAAUUGGAUUUAAAUGUAAUUUUAUUUAAUUUAUUAAAAUGAUUUUAAAUUUAAAAUAUGUACAUAUUGCCCGUCGCUUUCAUAUAAUAAUAAGUUGAAAUAAGUCGUAACAAAGUAGAGGUACUGGAAAGUGUUUCUAGAAAGAA
rnacentral:ncRNA from 1 species